CAGUAGCCGCGGUAAUACAGAGGGUGCGAGCGUUAAUCGGAUUUACUGGGCGUAAAGCGUGCGUAGGCGGCUUCUUAAGUCGGAUGUGAAAUCCCUGAGCUUAACUUAGGAAUUGCAUUCGAUACUGGGAAGCUAGAGUAUGGGAGAGGAUGGUAGAAUUCCAGGUGUAGCGGUGAAAUGCGUAGAGAUCUGGAGGAAUACCGAUGGCGAAGGCAGCCAUCUGGCCUAAUACUGACGCUGAGGUACGAAAGCAUGGGGAGCAAACAGGAUUAGAUACCCCCAGUAGUCCCUGUCUCUUAUA
rnacentral:rRNA from 1 species